rnacentral:rRNA from 1 species
ACGGAAGGCAGCAGUGAGGAAUAUUGGUCAAUGGACGCAAGUCUGAACCAGCCAUGCCGCGUGCAGGAAUAAGGCCCUAUGGGUCGUAAACUGCUUUUGUGGUGGAGCAAUAAGUCGUACGUGUACGGCGAUGAGAGUACAUCACGAAUAAGCAUCGGCUAACUCCGUGCCAGCAGCCGCGGUAAUACGGAGGAUGCAAGCGUUAUCCGGAUUUAUUGGGUUUAAAGGGUGCGUAGGCUGUGGUCCAAGUCAGGGGUGAAAGCCCGGAGCUCAACUCCGGAACUGCCUUUGAUACUGGAUUGCUGGAAUACGGAUGCCGUGGGAGGAAUGAGUAGUGUAGCGGUGAAAUACAUAGAUAUUACUCAGAACACCGAUUGCGAAGGCAUCUCACGAAUCCGUCAUUGACGCUGAGGCACGAAAGCGUGGGGAUCAAACAGGAUUAGAUACCCUGGUA